AUUGAACGCUGGCGGCAUGCUUUACACAUGCAAGUCGAACGGCAGCGCGGGCUUCGGCCUGGCGGCGAGUGGCGAACGGGUGAGUAAUGCAUCGGAACGUGCCCAGUAGUGGGGGAUAGCCCGGCGAAAGCCGGAUUAAUACCGCAUACGACCUGAGGGUGAAAGCGGGGGACCGAAAGGCCUCGCGCUAUUGGAGCGGCCGAUGUCGGAUUAGCUAGUUGGUGGGGUAAAGGCUUACCAAGGCGACGAUCCGUAGCUGGUCUGAGAGGACGACCAGCCACACUGGAACUGAGACACGGCCCAGACUCCUAGGGGAGGCAGCGGUGGGGAAUUUUGGACAAUGGGGGCAACCCUGAUCCAGCCAUGCCGCGGGCGGGAAGAAGGCCUUCGGGUUGUAAACCGCUUUUUUUCGGGAAGAAAUCUUCUGGGUUAAUACCCCGGGGGAUGACGGUACCGGAAGAAUAAGCACCGGCUAACUACGUG
rnacentral:rRNA from 1 species